rnacentral:rRNA from 1 species
GCACGUAGUUAGCCGGGACUUCUUCUGCAGGUACCGUCAGUUUCCCUUCGUCCCUGCCGAAAGGGGUUUACAACCCGAAGGCCUUCAUCCCCACGCGGCGUCGCUGCGUCACGCUUUCGCGCAUUAGCGCAAGAUCCCCCACUGCUGCCUCCCGUAGGAGUCUGGGCCGUGUCUCAGUCCCAGUGUGGCUGGCCGUCCUCUCAGACCAGCUACCCGUCGUCGCCUUGGUGGGCCGUUACCCCACCAACAAGCUGAUAGGCCGCGGGCCCAUCCCGGACCGUCGGAGCUUUCCCGGCGCGACCAUGCGAUCGCGCCGGAGUAUCCGGUAUUAGCUCAGGUUUCCCUGGGUUAUCCCGGUGUCCGGGGCAGGUUGCCCACGUGUUACUCACCCGUUCGCCGCUCUCCCCUCGGAAGGGUUACCCCUCCUGAGGUUCCCGCUCGACUUGCAUGUGUUAGGCACGCCGCCAGCGUUCGUC